rnacentral:lncRNA from 1 species
UCAUGUUCAGUUACUUUAUAUCAUAUAGCCAGUUAUUGUUCAUGCAUAUGAACCCUUGCAUACAGCCUUACCUUAUCUAGCAUCCCAGUACAUUUCACAUACUGACGCAUACUCUUUCUUUGUUCUAUGAUGUCUCAUAUCAUAGGUUCGGACGCUUAGGUUCCCGACAACGCAUAGAUAGAUUCAGAUUCAGCCAGCAGCAGUAGAUUAGUAGUGAGUCCUUAUCAUUCGCGGAUAUUCUUUUAUUUCAUUAUUUUAGUAGACUUUGUAUUUCAGUAAAUGGAGUUAGUUGGGGGAUUGUCCCAUCAACUCCUUUUUCAGAUAGUUUCAGUUAGAGGCAUUUCAGACUAAUUUUUAGACAGUGUUCAUUUUUACAGAUUGUUAUUUCAGUUGAUACACUUUAUCAGUAAUUACAGAUUUUGAACCUUAUGGCAUUUCAUCCUAUUUUUCUGCAUUUAUUACAGCAUCAUGUUUCUGUGCUCACAGAAGAUAUCAGUCAUGGGUUAGCUUGUGGUCCUUUGGGGUCGUAAGCACCGUGUAGUGUCCGGGGUACAGACUCGGGGCGUUACAGCCUAAUGGCCUCAUUCUCAUGGUAAGUCAAGGGUAAUACAUAGUGCCCUUGAUUAAUUGUAUAGACUACAAAAUGUCCCUUUUCAACUAUAGAGGAUGAGGAUGUACUGCAACCGUCUACAUCACUGCUAUUUCAUGGAAAAUGAAAUCCUCCUCCUUUGUAUGGCUGUAAAAUCUACCAUCUCCUGGCCAUCUUGAUGAGUUUCUUAGCACUAAGAAUUGCUCUUUUCCUUGAAAGAUUGGAAGCAAGAAAGGAAACUAGAAAUUUAGAAUAGUUUGGUGUCUGAAUAGAUAAUGCUUGUAGUAGUUGAUGAAAACAUAACACAGAAGGAGGUUAUUUAUACAAAAGGUUGUAGACAGGCUUUUGGUUGGAGAUGAAGUUUUUGUCACUAACCACUGAGGGCAAAGACAUGUAUCGAUGCUUGUUGUCUAUGUUUAUAUGGGGCUUAACUUUGGGUAUGGAAGGAUGAAGGAUUAUAAGUUGUUUAAUUUUUAUCGAAAAGGUUUGAUGCAUU